UACGAAGGGGGCUAGCGUUGCUCGGAAUCACUGGGCGUAAAGCGCACGUAGGCGGCUUUCUAAGUCAGGGGUGAAAUCCUGGAGCUCAACUCCAGAACUGCCUUUGAUACUGGAGAGCUUGAGUCCGGGAGAGGUGAGUGGAACUCCGAGUGUAGAGGUGAAAUUCGUAGAUAUUCAGAAGAACACCAGUGGCGAAGGCGGCUCACUGGCCCGGUACUGACGCUGAUGUGCGAAAGCGUGGGGAGCAAACAGG
rnacentral:rRNA from 1 species